rnacentral:snoRNA from 1 species
AACUAAGUCUUGAUCUCUGAACUUCAGGUAAGUUCAAGUGUUGAUCGUUUUAUUGAUUGAUGCU